GCCUUUGUGGUGUAGUGGUCAGCACACUCGGCGCGUAUUCGAGAGGUCCGAGGUUCGAGUCCCGGCGAGGGCA
rnacentral:tRNA from 1 species